CUCAUGCCAACCCAUCUUCUCUUCUUCUCCAAAACCCACGACCAUAAAACCCACAAAACCUACCCACAGCCCCCAUUGCUUGGAGGAAGCUAUUGCCGGAAAAAGCUUAUGGAAGUCAUGCCGAAGAAGCCCCAUGGAAGCUAUGGUCAGUAAAGCCGAAGCCACUUCCAAGAAACUCCCGUGAAAAUCAUCUCUCUAGAUUUUGGAGUUAUUCUUUCAACACAAAUUGAAAACGCCCAAGAGAUGCUAAUAGCUGCAGAACAAAAGUUUACAACUGCAACUGAAGAACUCUCAAAUAUGAAAGAGGAACUCUCACAUGUGAAAGAAACAUUUGAAGAAAGGUUGAUAGAAGUUCAAAGGAAGACACGAGAAGAAGUGAAAGAAGAGUUUGAAGAAAAAAUGAUGGAAAUGUAAAGAAAAAUGCAAGCACAAAUUCAAGAACAAAUGAUGCAACAAUUUUAGCAAAAGCAGUAGAAAUUUGAAGAUUUUGCUACAUCUUUAUAUGAUAGAUUCUCUUAACUUUUUUGAAAAUUAUGCUACUUAUUUAUAUGAUAGAUUCUCCUAACUUUUUUUUGCUUUCUAUGACUAUUAUGUAAUGUUUGGUUGAUUUGUUAUAUUAUGUUAGAAUGUGAAACUAAAUUUGAAUCUC